UCAACAUAAGUUUAAAGAGUCAUCACAUCAAUGGGGUCAUGGAAAGAAAAGCUCAUCCAACAUAGUUCAUAUGAUGAGUAAAGCAUCUCAAAAACGGAAACAAAAUAAAUAAUAAAAAAAAACUGUGGCUAUCUGUGUGUGUUAUUGAAAGCAAAAAUGAAAAAUUUCAACUAAUGCAAGCAAACUAAAAAUCAAAGCAAAAAUAAACUCAAAAAGUAAAAAUUCAGAAAUAUGCACCCCCACACCUAAAUCAUGCAUUGUCCUCAAUGUAUAAGAAACAUAAAAGAACAAAUAAGAAACAUAAAAGAACAAAGGAAACUGAGUACUCCCCUGGGUGUGGUGUGCAUGGUGCGAUCCUCUUGAUCAAGGCUCAAGUAAUUGGGGAAGGGAAGAGAGUCCCAACUGCAUUGAGUAGAAAGUGUAGCACUCUUUUUGAUUUGGUCAUAGCCCAUCCUACUUUUUCCAUGUACUCAUG
rnacentral:lncRNA from 1 species